CUCUGCGCAAGGGAUCUUUUGGUUCGCUAGACGAAGAAGGGCGCAGCGGAAUGCGAAAUGUGCAGGAGCAGCAGCGAAGAUAGCACAUGCCUGAAAUCACGAGAGUGAGACUACCCCUUUGAAUUAAGCAUAUGAGUAAAGGGAGUUAAAGAAACUAACAAGGAUUCCUGUAGUAGCGGCGAGCGAAGAAGGAACAGCCCCGAGUGUAAUCACCUAAUUAAUAUAGAGUGAGAUGUCAUAAAUCUAUAGAACGAUGUUGAAACUUCGGCCUGAGAGGGUGAUAGCCC
rnacentral:rRNA from 1 species